UAACAAGUGAAUUCAUCAAAAGUGACUUGUGCAGGAGCUUUAAAAUGCUGAAGGAGGCUGUUUGCUUUAAUGGGCACCCCUGCAACUGUGAAAAUACAACUCUGCUAUCA
rnacentral:lncRNA from 12 species